AUUUUAUUAUUGCAUUUUACGAAGUUACCAAGACAACUGAGGCCAAGUAAUGGAACCUUGACUUUAUGCGCCAUGAAAAUUUAAUAAUGAAUUUUUAAAGGCUCUUAGGAGGCAGGAGCAGCCUAGCAAGCAGCAGAGCCUCGCUCCGGGGGAGGAGGGCUCCGAGCGCAGGGGCCCACCCCAGACCUCCCAGGCCCUCCUGCCAGGGUUGUCGCGUUGACCGAAGGACAUCACGGUGGGCGGGGCGUGUCCCGGCCUUGGUCCGGUUCCAGCACGUGGAGGCAGGUCCUUUCCUCCGCAGACACUUAACUAACGUCGGGCCCAGGGGCCAAGUCCCAAGCCAGGCUCUUCACAUUCCUUGUGGCGAGCUCUCCCCUGCACACACCAGGACUCCGGCGAAGGGGUGGAGUCUCUGGUCCCUCCACAUGAGCCAGAGAGACA